AGUGAACGCUGGCGGUAGGCCUAACACAUGCAAGUCGAACGGCAGCACAGUAGGAGCUUGCUCUUACGGGUGGCGAGUGGCGGACGGGUGAGGAAUACAUCGGAAUCUACUUUUUCGUGGGGGAUAGCGUAGGGAAACUUACGCUAAUACCGCAUACGACCUGCGGGUGAAAGCAGGGGAUCUUCGGACCUUGCGCGAUUGAAUGAGCCGAUGUCGGAUUAGCUAGUUGGCGGGGUAAAGGCCCACCAAGGCGACGAUCCGUAGCUGGUCUGAGAGGAUGAUCAGCCACACUGGAACUGAGACACGGUCCAGACUCCUACGGGAGGCAGCAGUGGGGAAUAUUGGACAAUGGGCGCAAGCCUGAUCCAGCCAUACCGCGUGGGUGAAGAAGGCCUUCGGGUUGUAAAGCCCUUUUGUUGGGAAAGAAAAGCAGCAGGUUAAUACCCCGCUGUUCUGACGGUACCCAAAGAAUAAGCACCGGCUAACUUCGUG
rnacentral:rRNA from 1 species